UACAGAGGUCUCAAGCGUUGUUCGGAUUCACUGGGUUUAAAGGGUGCGUAGGCGGACAGGUAAGUCAGUGGUGAAAUCUCUGGGCUUAACUCAGAAACUGCCGUUGAUACUAUUUGUCUUGAAUGUCAUGGAGGUAAGCGGAAUAUGUCAUGUAGCGGUGAAAUGCUUAGAUAUGACAUAGAACACCGAUAGCGAAGGCAGCUUACUACAUGAAGAUUGACGCUGAGGCACGAAAGCGUGGGGAGCAAACAGG
rnacentral:rRNA from 1 species